UACGGGGGGGGCAAGCGUUUGUUCGGAAUUACUGGGCGUAAAGGGCUCGUAGGCGGCCAACUAAGUCAGACGUGAAAUCCCUCGGCUUAACCGGGGAACUGCAUCUGAUACUGGAUGGCUUGAGUUCGGGAGAGGGAUGCGGAAUUCCAGGUGUAGCGGUGAAAUGCGUAGAUAUCUGGAGGAACACCGGUGGCGAAGGCGGCAUCCUGGACCGGCAUUGACGCUGAGGCGCGAAAGCCAGGGGAGCAAAGCGGGG
rnacentral:rRNA from 1 species